rnacentral:lncRNA from 1 species
UUUUACCAAUGCGUCCAAAUUUACAAUUAGAUUUGUUAUCUUUAUAUGUUUUUUUAGUUUUUCUUACACAAACUAAUAUAUUUUUGCAAUUGCUUGGUAACCCUCUAUUUUCUGUUUGCGUGUGUUGCAAGUUUCAAGUAGUACGUACAAAAUUAAUUUGAUUAUUUAAAUAAUUUUCUACUAUGCUUUUUAUUUAGGUGUAUGUCUUGUGCGAGGCAUUUUUUAAAUAUAUAUAUUUUUUAAAUAAUAUAUAUUUAUAAAAAAUUUUUAUUUUUUAUAGAUUUAAUUAUAUAAAAUAAAAUGAGUGAAAUUAAAUUAACAAAUAACAUGGCAUUUUAUCUUGAAGCCUAUUGGACACAAUUUGCAAGUUAUUUGGAUAUGCAAACAUCGAAAAAUAAAGUCAUUAGCAACGACUACAAUAGAAGUUAUGAUAAAAUAUGUUGAGUGAUUACGCUAUUUUUCACAUUAAUCCUGAUGAAAAAUAUAUAAUCUUUAACUUUUAUUAAAAACUGUUAAAAAAUGGUUAAACGACGAAGAAAAAAAACUUUAGAUUGGCAUUUAUUUAAUAAAUGUUCUAACAGAAUUGUCUGUAAAAAUAAAAAAUUGAGUAGAAGAAACCAUAAAAAUUAAAUAAUUUUUUUAUUGUAAUUUUCUUUAGAUACCUAAUAAAAAAUGGAGCAAGUUUACGAGAAUGUUAAUAAAGCCAUCUACAGAUAUGGCAAACCAGAACAAACUAAAAGUAAAUAAGAACAAGUCAAGCUGUACGAGGCUUUUUUUGUAGAUGGAAAUUCAGUAUAUAAUUUAAAAAAUGUCGAUAUCAUCGAUGAAAAAGACGACUAGGAAAGUGAAUAUGAUGAUGACACUUAUGAUGACACAGAUGAAGAUGAUGAGAAAAAUGAUAACGAUGACACAGAUGAAGAUGAUGAGACAAACGAUAACGAUGACGAUAAAGAUGUUGAUAAAAUGAACCUAUGGAAAUAGAGCAUAAAAAUAAUUGGCAAAAACUAUGGACAAAGAAUAUUGCUAUUAUUGCAAGUUACCCAUCAAUGGCGAUCAAUUUCUUGAGCAUCAACAGAAAUGUUGUACUUCUCAAUCUUACGUUUGUUUUAGAUGUGGCAAAAAAAUAAAUUUAGUAGACACGUGGGAACACGAGUGCGAACCAGAGCCUCUGUUCCACGAGUGUAAACUAGAAAAAUUUGUUAAAACCAAAAUGUGCAUGUUUUGUCAAAAUCAAAUACCUAAAAACCUGUUGGAUAAGCUUGUAGUUGACUGUUUUAGUCUUUAUGAAAACGAAUGGAAAGCCUCAAGGUGGAUCAAUUGAUCCAAACACAAUUUUGACACUUUGCUGAUUUGUUAUUAUUUACGGAAAAACUGCAUAAAAACCACAUUCAGAGAUGCGGUUAUAAAUAUUUGUACCUAAAAAUCCUAUGGAUCAAUAAAUCCACCUAAUAGAGAGUAUGCAUAUACAUAACAGUUUUAGUCACAUAAUUAAGUUUAAUUGGAAUUUUGCAUAUAUUUGACAAGCACUUUCCACAAAAAGGUUUCAUACAAUUUGCACAUACUGUUGAUCAGGGCCGCCAAGAGCCGUCACGUCGCCUGAGACAGCAAUCCUGAUUGGCGCCCUAAUAAAACUUUCCUUAUAUAUAUGAAGGACCUUUUUUUAUUUA